rnacentral:rRNA from 1 species
GACGAACGCUGGCGGCGUGCUUAACACAUGCAAGUCGUACGGUAAGGCCCUUUCGGGGGUACACGAGUGGCGAACGGGUGAGUAACACGUGAGUAACCUGCCCACAACUUUGGGAUAACGCUAGGAAACUGGUGCUAAUACUGGAUAUGUGCUCCUGCUGCAUGGUGGGGGUUGGAAAGCUCCGGCGGUUGUGGAUGGACUCGCGGCCUAUCAGCUUGUUGGUGGGGUAGUGGCCUACCAAGGCGGCGACGGGUAGCCGGCCUGAGAGGGUGACCGGCCACAUUGGGACUGAGAUACGGCCCAGACUCCGACUGGAGGCAGCAGGGGGGAAUAUUGCACAAUGGGCGCAAGCCGGAUGCAGCAACGCCGCGUGCGGGAUGACGGCCUUCGGGUUGUAAACCGCUUUCAGCAGGGACGAAGCUUUUUGUGACGGUACCUGCAGAAGAAGCACCGGCUAACUACGUG